ncrna:unclassified sequences DTF3800-X RNA
UUGCGAGUAAGUCCUAUCCGAGGCAAUGAUGCCCGCGCUUGUGGGAUGGGAGUAUUAGAAUAGGGAUCGCGA